GUGAGUCUCCUCCCACGACGGCGUCGGUGGUGUUGUUUGUUUGCUUUGUCAAUUUUCUUUUCCUUUUUUUUUUUAACUGGUUUGGUUCGGAGGUAAAAAAAAAUUAAAAUAAAUACGAAAAUAAUCAUAUUUUUAAAAAAAAAAUACCAAAAUAAUCAACUUUGGGAGAGGAUGCGCCGGGUGGAUUGGCGCAUUCACACACCUUUAAAAGGAGGCGCCAGAUGCAUUGAUGUACAUGUAUUGGGCCUCAUGAAGAGGCGCCAAUGAUUGUGGCGCCUGCAUGGCCCUCCAAGAGGAGGCGCCCAUGCAUCUGGCGCCUGCAUGGCCCUCCAAGAGGAGGCGUCCAUGCAUCUGGCGCCUAUGUGUCCUUUGUGUGGUGGGUGUAUGCACCACCACAUCUGGCGCAUACACCCCCUCAUAGUAUUUUUUAUUUUAUUUUAAUUUUAAUUUUUUUAGUUGUUUAUUUUUUAAAAAUAUUUUUUAUUUUUAAUAUUUAAUAUUUAUUAUUUAAUACAUAAGAAAUAAAAAUGAAAAUAAAAUAAAUUCAUUAAAUAUGUAAUAAUUGGUUACAUUGGAAAGACCAAAAACCUAAUGACCCGUCCGAUAAUAACGUCCCCCGGUUCCACAUCCCGGUGCGUUAGGUUGUCUCUGAGGUCUCCCACGAUUUUCUUGAGGUGUUUGUGAUCUUUGGGUGCUAACCUGAUCGAGCGAUGGUUGGUUGGAAGGUCCGGCAGAAGUUCCGGCGGUAUUUGACAGAUGUGUCAUCAUUUGCUCCCAAUAUCCGGAGGGGCUCUAGCCAACGGCGCUUCCGUAAUGGAGUUCGGUGCCCAUGUCAUCGUAGUCGUAAGUAGGCUUGGGGUUGGGUGAAUUGGGUACGGUAUGUUGCCAAUUGGCCAUGAGUCGUUUGAAAACGAAGCAAUGGUUCUUGGGCGUACUAUAGUUAAAUAUGGUUGAGUGUUAAUUGUGGCGGGUACGAUGACGUGACCCAUAUGAAUCAUCUGGGCUAUAGACGGUUGUGGUUGCGGGGUUGGUUCUUGGUUUUGUGUUGUGGUGGGUGGUAUGAAUGGAUUCAACGUUGGAUGGUUCGUGUUUGGUGGUUGGCAUGAACGGUUGCGAUGUUGGGUGUGGGUUGUUUGUGUAAUGUGGUCGGUGUGAUGUGUGUGGUUGGUUGUUGAGUUUGGUGGGUUCACAUUGGUGUUGGUGGUGAUUGAUGUGGGACAGUACGAUGACGAAGCAAGUUGGUACUACCGGAUCAUCAAAUACCGUUUUGCGGGCCAGGAUACCAAAUAUACUGAUUGUUAACANNNNNNNNNNNNNNNNNNNNNNNNNNNNNNNNNNNNNNNNNNNNNNNNNNNNNNNNNNNNNNNNNNNNNNNNNNNNNNNNNNNNNNNAGCGCUAGGCUGUAUCUGGGCUUUUCUUGCGACUCUGCUGGGAUCCAUUCUUCUUCGCUAGCGAGGCUAUGACUAGCUCAAUGCAAUCAACUUUGUUCCUUUCAAAGUAUUGCGUGUUUUCAAGUACACUACAAGUCAUUCCCUGCGCAUUCUCUUUUUCCGCUGCCAGCAAGUUGUAUUUUGGCUUCAUAGUUAUUUAUUGGACUGUAACUUGAGACUCAUUAGCUUUGCUCCUUUAAAGAAACCUCUAGUGGUGCACAACUCUCUUUGUGGACUGAUCUUUCAGAUAACCCACAAAUGUUGAUUGGAUAUUCCAAUGCUUUCUGAGACAAACUCUUGAGCUAAUUCUGGAUGAAUGUAAAAUGAAUAUGAAAUGUUAAUGACCUACAUGACUGCUGAUGAUGGAGGGAAAUUUGACGGUCGCGCAGGUUGAAUGAAUGUGGAUCAUCGACUGUCAAGCAAGUUGGGCGCGUCAUCAAUUACCCGGACUCAGAUAUCGAAGUGCUGAGUGGUUUAGACUAACACUGCUCAUAUAUUGUUGAGUCGGUCUUGCACCUUGGAUGACUGGUUCGUUCAAGAUGUGUUGUCGUCGAUUCCUCCAUUGACGACACAUGUCUUUUGCAAAGUCUCUCUAGUCAGAAUAAUCCCACUGUGCAUCGACCCUUUUUUGAUGUCAAUUCCCCAAACACGUGGGAGAUUCUGGAAUAUGUUGUAGCAUUCCGAACUGCAGUUUGACCCGGUCACUUUGGUGCAUUUCAACUGUAGUGAAUCGGUGUCUUCGCUGUCUAAACUGCAGCAUCGUCAUGGUUCACAUCAUGAUUCAGACCCAGAUAUGGCCUCCAAACAAACUGGAAAAAAUACCAAAUCGUUAGAUGGAAAAUAAUUUGAGAAAUAUUUUUAAAUUAAAAUAUAGUUUGGUAGGAGUAUUACAUCAUCAUGUCCAAUGUGGUCCAAUAGAUUUUGAUAGACUACAAUAGCGUGUUUCAGACACCUAUUGUAGUUCAUUCCCCUUCCUGACCACCUAAGAUAAUAAAAAGAAGUGAAAAAUAUUAUUUACUGUUAAUUUAAAUAAUAAAUAUAAUUAACUAAAUGGUGAAUAGUAAAGUGCUAGACUUACUUGGUUGCAAAGGGGAACACGAAUGGGCGCUCAUUUAUCGGGGCGAGCGACGGCAUUCUAGACCACCCCCAAGCUUGAAGCAAAUAAGCACAUGAAAAAAAAUACAUGUAUUCUUUUUUGCAGUUCUACACAUUGCACUAUAUAGAUGGGCCAACACAGCUAAACCCCAACUAUAAGUGUUUACCUUAUUAAUGUUGCGUAAUAAAGGUAAAUACAUUAUAUUCACAAAAUUACCUGUACUUUCUGGAAACAAAAAGUUACCAAAUAAAAUCAUAAUAUAACACCGAGCUUUUAUUAUUUUCUCAUACUCGGUUGAAUCGUCGGACAAUACUAUACUGGCAUAAUAUUGUUUAAGAUAUUUUAAAUUUAUACUUUGCCCCCUUGCUUGACCGGAUGUGUCUCCCUCAGUUUCGUCGUCUAACAAAGGGGCGCCCAAUAAUUCAUUGCAUAUAUUGUUGUCUUGGUUAACUUGCCCAUUCACUGCUUUUCCGUCUAUACGAAGACCCAACAACAUGUACACGUCCUCAAGUGUGACGGUACACUCACCAAUCGGAAGGUGAAAUGUGUGGGUCUCGGGUCUCCACCUCUCCAACAAAGCCAGAAUGAACUUGUAGUCCACCGAGUACGAAACAAUGUUUAGUAGAUUUCCAAAUCCACAUCCUCUAAUAUAUGGUUCUAUUAAAGGAUCGUGGGGUACAUAUUCAUGUACACGGCAUCUAAACCGCUUCGGAUCCUAAUAACAAAAAAGUUAGAAAAUACAGUUAGAAGAAGAAAUACAUACUCAACAAACACACAUCUAUAAGAAGUAAUCCUAAAAUAGAAACUAAAAAGAGAGAGAUUACAAAGGUAUAACACAAAGAAGAUAUGUAUUAGAAGUAAUCCAGAAAUAGUAACUAAAAGAGAGAGAUAACAUACAAAUGCCGAGAUAUUCUCGAUUGUGCCUUUGUGUUCAUCGCCCAUAGUCAACAAAGACAUGAUUUGAAUUUGCAAAGCUUGAGUUUGGUAGAUGAAAGAAAUGUGGUAGAAGAAAAUACUUGAGUAUUGAUGAAGAUGAUUUGAUAUUGUUGAUAUGAGAGACCAUUUAUAGAUGAAUGAGUGAGUAGGUUUGGAAACCUAAAAAGAGUGUGAUUGAUUGCAUGGAAAGGCAAGAGGAGACAAGAAUGACAAAAUUCAGCAUGGAUUCCCUGGCGCUUGUGUAUUCUUUUCAAUCUUUUCUCUGCGUACUGGAUUCCUUCAACUACAUGCAUGGUCAAGUCUGUACAGACAAUUACCAAGUUAUCAAUGCAUUGACCAACUUACCAAUGACCAACUAUUUAUGCUGUGCAAUUGAACAACUUAGCAAUGCAUUCAGUUUGAAUUCCAUUCAACAUAGUGUCUUCCACACAACAUUAUAUGAUCAGUCCACAUGUCAAAGGUGAAAUAUUUGAUCAUCAGUUGUUCAGUUUUUUUUUUGAAACACAAAGGUGACUCGGUUUAUAAUAAAUCGGCGAUCAAAUUUUUCACAUCCGAAACAAAGAAUAGAAAAGAAAUUGCAGUGCAAUAAUGUGGGUCAGAUCAUCUAUAAAAAUCCAGUUUGUUUUGCAGAAAACCAGGUAAAAUUUUAUCAAAAGAAGAUUCGAGAUGAUGAUGAUGUUCAACAUAUGUUUGGCAGUCACGAACAUUCUGGUUACAACGAUAUAUAGUUUUAUAUAUUACCACAUCAACAACAGAAGUCUCAGUACAUUGAUCAGUCACAAGUGUUUUGUGAGACUGAUGACGAACAAGCUGAGGUGAAUGUUCCAGACGAUGAAGAAGAAGAACCUGAGAUCAUGGUUGAUUCGAUGGUGAACACUGAAGAGGAAGAGGAGCCAAUACCAGCAAGUCAUGUAUAUUGCCCACCCCAACACAUGACAAGGUUAAAUUUGGUUUCAGAUGAACCUUCGGCAGAUGUAUGGUACAAUCCUUACGUGCAAAUGCAAGGAUCUCCGAAACAAGGAGACAAAUUUCACACAAAAGAGGAAUGUGUAAAAGCCAUUAAGAAAUUCCACAUACAACUAGCAGCAGACUUCAGAGUAGACAGAACUGACACAUCGAGGUAUAAAGUUUAUUGUUCGAAUGAGCAUUGCCUUUUUAAGUUGUCAGCUUCGUACCGGAAGAGAAGCGAGUCUUGAGAGAUUGGAUCAAUGGGUCCAGAUCACACAUGCAUGCUGACAAACCCAAUGCAUGAUCAUCUAAAUUAAGCUCUCAGCUAAUAUGCGAUGAAAUAUUGUCUGUCAUUGGCGAUAAUCCGUCGUUAAAGGUGAGUACAAUAAUCUCGCAUAUUAGGGUAGAGUACGAGUACACACCAUCAUAUAGGAAGGCAUGGAUAGCUAGAACAAAAGCUGUUGAAAAAGUGUUUGGCAAUUGGGAGGAAUCUUACAAACAACUUCCAAAAUACCUGUUGGCUCUAAAACACUUAUAGGAAGGCAUGGAUAGCUAGAACAAAAGCUGUUGAAAAAGUGUUUGGCAAUUGGGAGGAAUCUUACAAACAACUUCCAAAAUACCUGUUGGCUCUAAAACACUAUGCUCCCGGGACAAUUUUCAUGAUGGAAACAUUGCCCGCAUAUACACCAGAUGGUACGUGUGCUGUUGGAAAUAGAAUAUUUCACCGUCUAUUUUUGGCGUAUCAACCGUGUAUCAUAGGUUUUUCUUUCUGUAAACCAAUUAUACAAAUUGAUGGUACAUGGUUAUAUGGAAAAUACAAAGGAACGUUACUGAUGGUAGUGGCACAAGAUGGGAACAACAAUAUUUUUCCGAUCGCCUUUGCCCUAGUUGAAGGGGAGACUGUUGAGGGAUGAAGUUUUUUCCUAAGAAAUCUCCGAUUGCACGUUGCACCUCAGCCUAACUUGUGUUUGAUCUCUGAUAGGCACCCCUCAAUCAUCAGUGCAUAUAAUAACAUUGACAAUGGUUGGCAAAAUCCUCAUUCGACGCAUGUGUUUUGUAUUAGACAUAUUGCUCAGAAUUUCAUGCGGGAAAUCAAAGAUAAGACGUUGCGUAAGAAGGUUGUCAAUGCAGGUUACGCAUUAACAGAACCUUCUUUAAACACUACCGCGAGGAAAUAGAUUGUCGACAAGAUGCGGUUCGGUGGAUCGAUAGUAUUCCGUGGAGAAGUGGACUAGGGCAUACGACAGCGGACAACGUUGGGGCCACAUGACAACAAAUCUUGUGGAAUCAAUGAACUUUGUCUUCAAAGGAAUUCGUAACCUACCAAUAACCGCUUUGGUGCAAGCUACAUAUAUUCAGGCUAGGGGCGUUGUUUGAAACCAGACGCUCAAAAUGGAGUUCCGUGUUGCAAUCCGGACAGUUGUUCAGUGAUGCUUCAAUGAAAUUCAUCAGACAUGAAGCUGCCAAAGCAAACACACACGUGGUUAUGGUAUUUGACCGAACUAAAGGUUGGUUUAGUGUUGUCGAGUCCAUGGAUCACAAUGAGGGCAUGCCAAUGGGAUAAUACAGAGUCGAAUUAGAUAGAGGUUGGUGCGACUGCGGAAGGUUCCAAGCCUUUCGUACCCCCUGCUCCCAUGUCAUUGCGGCAUGCUCAAAGGUUCGAAGGGAUCCAUCCUACUUGCUAUCUGAAGUUUACAACAUCGCCAGCCUUUCAAAUGUUUAUAAAAUUAGUUUUUCGGUAGUGGCAAAAGAGGAUUAUUGGCCAGAAUAUCAAGGGGACAUCGUCUGGCACAACGAAGUUAUGCGAAGGAUGAAAAAGGGUCGCCCUAACAGCACCCGGAUUCAAACCGAAAUGGAUACGGCGAACAAAAUGGUUAGACUAUGUAGUUCAUGCCGUCAACCAGGUCACAAUCGUAAUAACUGUCCUAGUGUUGGAACGAGCACAACCAGAUAAAUUCAGUACCUCUGUUGCUAUUAUGGAAACUUAAAUUUAUUUCAAAGUACCUCUGUUACAAUAUAUGGGAAUUAAUUUUACUUCAUAGUAGACGUCUGUGACGAAAAGACAGUUUUUCAUAAAAAAUAACACAAUUAAAACAACUAGAAUACAAAAACUAUGCGAUUACAACCAUCAAAACAAUUUUGAACAUGUACUGCAUCAUCCUACGAGCGUCUUGGUCGGUCUUAAUAUCCACCCAUUUGCGCACUUCUCCGUUUUGGUUGAACGUGGACACAAGCCAUUGUAUUCUUCUAAUCCGUUCACCCUUUCCAAUUUCUCCCUCUAACCAACUGUACAACGUCCAAUUAAGACGUUCAAACAUAUCUAUGUUCCAAAGUCGAACCUGUAUCGGAGCCGCAACGGCAGAAAAUAUUACAUCAGCAUUUCGUUUCUGAAUGUAUGCAGACAUUGUUGAAACAAAGAAAAUUAAAAUUGAUGGUUGAACUAGACUAGGAGAUGAAUUUAAGUGAAAAUAAUUGUAUGCAAGAGGAUGAUAUUUAUAGAGACGGAAGAUGAAUUGGACAAAACACGUAGGCGCCAGUUGAAUUGGCACCCACAUGACACACACACACAGACGCGACAAAAAUUGGCGCCUUGCACACAAACAAACAUAGGCGCCAUUGGCUCUGGCGCCUCCUCUUGGAGGGCCAUGUAGGCGCCACACACAUUGGCGCCUCUUUCAUGAGGCCCAAUGCAUGUGCUCCAAUGCAUCUGGCGCCUCUUCUUACUUUUUUUGGGGGGUGCGCCAACUCCUCCGGCGCAUCCUCACCAAAGUUGGUUAUUUUGGUAUUUUUUUUGAAAACAUGGUUAUUUUCGUAUUUUUUUUUAAAAAGUUGGUUAUUUAAAAAAAAUCGUUCAGAGGUUGUUAUUAUUGUUUUAAUGUUGAAAACUGGUUUUUCAUAUUUUAAUCGAUUUUAAAAUUGGUUUAAUUUCUUGUAACCGAUUUUAUUAAUUUGGUUUUAUAUCCAAA
rnacentral:lncRNA from 1 species